rnacentral:sRNA from 1 species
AUGUACCACACGUAUUCCUCCGCGCCGUCCGCACCCACCUGACGACUGCUCGCUACGUUUUGUUAGCU